UACGUAGGGGGCAAGCGUUGUCCGGAAUCACUGGGCGUAAAGGGUCCGUAGGCGGCAGAGCAAGUCUCACGUCAAAUCCCCAGGCUCAACCUGGGACAGGCAUGGGAUACUGCUCAGCUUGAGGGUGGCAGAGGUGAGCGGAACGUUGCAAGUAGCGGUGAAAUGCAUUGAUAUGCAACGGAACACCGAUGGCGAAGGCAGCUCACUGGGCCAUUUCUGACGCUGAGGGACGAAAGCCAGGGUAGCGAACGGG
rnacentral:rRNA from 1 species